GCUCGGGGCCGCACAGAAGCCCCCGCGCCCGGCACGCGGCCCGGUUCGUUUCCCGAGCCGUUUCCGGGACAACAAUGAAAGGACAAUGAAAGCCAUUGGCUGGCAUCCACUCAAAGGACCUGCCCACCGCCGCCACCUCUUUAGUGGCAGAGGGGAGUUCUGAAGGGCGACCCUAAAGAUGGAGAGCAGGAGAUGAAGACUCACCACCCCCUCAACAUCAAACCCCCGCUAACGAAACCGGAAUCCUCCUCGGCCUGGGCAUCCCGCCCCUGCUCGGUGCCCCGCUUCUCUUCCCCCCUGUGCUCCCCCGUUAGGGUCUGGUAGCCGAGACAGCUGGAUGUCCAGCGCCAGACCCUUCCCCCCAGAAACCUGGCCCCUGUUUUACAAGGCAAUCAAGAGGCCUGUCCUUACAACUGUUCAGGACCCAGAACUAUUGAAGAUGACUCCAUUUUCUCCACAGUGGAAGAAGAAGGAAAAAAGUCAAACAUUCAUCUAUUGAUGAUAGUACCAACAAAAUCCUGGGGACCAUCGUAAGACAGGCAGGAGGGCCACUGGGCUGGGGGGGAGGGGAGAAGAGGUCCAUAAAGCCCAAAUGGUCAGAACCAGUCUUCCCUGUUGCACCGGAUCCUGAAGAAGGACCAACAGAAGAGGUGGAACCCAAGGCCUUAAAUGAUGCUGGGCUGAUGGUGCAAGGACUCCACUGUGAAGUUGGCCCAAGCCCCAAGAAAACUCCUAAGAAUAAAACUUUUAAGGAUCCCAAAGAUGGCUCCCAAGCCCAAGGACCCACCAGAGGAAAUUAGUCAAGUCCUAGAAAUAUUUGAGAAGAACAAGGAAAGGAUUUCCUUACUGUGUGACUUUAUCUGCCAAAAACCUACUUUGUCCAUCCUUCACCAGAAGUGCCCAAGACCAACUGAGGACAGCCUCCACCAGACUGUCCAGAAAAAGACUAUGGAGGCUAAGGGCACGUGCCUUUUCCCCAAAUGUGCAGUCUGGGCAAAUGGUCCUGUUGUGAAGCCUAGUUUACAGCCACGAAAACUCCUUCAUUCCUAAGCUACUAUAUUUACAAAGCCCCUCCCCAGGACCCAAGGCCCCCCCGGACCUCUCCGUACCUCUCCGUACCUGCGCAAGCCACUUAACCACCAGGUGGCACUAACUGGCCGCUUGCUCCGAGGGAAGUGAGGAGGAGGUCCCUGAAGUCCAUGAGUGGGAGGGCCACCCUGGCCCUCCUAGGAAUCCUUUGUCCUCCCUUAGGCCCUGGUUGGGACCAGCUUUGAGGAUGGGUCCUAAAUUUUCAAGGAAUAAUAAUAAGAAUAAACAUGAGGCCCAGGCCAAUGCAAUCUGUCUCUUGAGCUUGUCCUCCUAAAACACACAAGCUAAGCAGCCCAGCUUGCUCUUGGAGCCACCAUCCCAUGGCUUGGAAAUUGUUACCCAGAAUUUGGCAGGAAUAAUGCCAAAUAUUUGUACAGGGAAUUUACAGUUUUCAAAGCACUUCCAAGCCCAUUUUCUCAUUAGAUCAUUUGAUCAUUGACUUCAUGUGGAGCAAGUUUAAUUGACCCCAUCUUAAAGAUGGGGAAACUGAGGCUCAAAGAUUAAAUAAGUUGCCCAAACUCAAUAACAAAGUGAAAAUAGAAGUAGGACCCAUGUCUCCUGACUUCUAAUAGAAGACUCUCCAAUACUGGGUGCCUCAUUUAAUAAUCCCAGGCAGAAAACCAAGUCAUAGAGUCAGAGACCUGGUUUCCAAUCCCCCUCCUAACUUUUGAGGUUUACCAUCUGUGUGAACUUGGACAAAUCACCGGAUUUCCCUAGGUCCCAGUUUCCUUACAUGGACUCUAAUGUCCUUACUAAAUUUAAAUGUAUCUCCUACCCCACCCUGCACAGUCCUGGGCAAGAUGGAUGGGAGAAACAUUCAUUUCAUUAUAGUCUGUCACAGUCCCAGAAAGCCUAUUCUUAAACUCUUCCCUCCUCUUUGGAGUCAGAGGGUCUUCACAGGCUUCUAGUUUACAAUUUAAAUGCAAAUACCCUUUGGACAGGGAUUUCCCUCCCAUCAAUAAAACCAGGGUUAAGUCAAGGAUGGAAAAGUUGGGGGGGGGGGGGCGGGGAGAAGGAGUGAGGAACUUAAGCAUAAUCAAAGCUCCAUAAGGACAUUAACAUUCAUUUUAGUCUUCAUGUCCCCAACAACUUAU